GAGACACGGACCAGACUCCUACGGGAGGCAGCAGUGAGGAAUAUUGGUCAAUGGGCGCAAGCCUGAACCAGCCAUCCCGCGUGAAGGAAGAAUGCGCUAUGCGUUGUAAACUUCUUUUCCAGGGGAAUAAAAUUUCGUACGAGUACGGGACUGAAGGUACCUUGGGAAUAAGCAUCGGCUAACUCCGUGCCAGCAGCCGCGGUAAUACGGAGGAUGCGAGCGUUAUCCGGAUUUAUUGGGUUUAAAGGGUGCGUAGGCGGAAAAAUAAGUCAGUGGUGAAAACCUUCAGCUUAACUGGAGACUUGCCAUUGAUACUGUUAUUCUUGAGUAUAGUUAAGGUAGGCGGAAUGUGUAAUGUAGCGGUGAAAUGCUUAGAUAUUACACAGAACACCAAUUGCGAAGGCAGCUUACUGAGCUAUAACUGACGCUGAUGCACGAAAGCGUGGGGAGCGAACAGGAUUAAGAUACCCUGGUAGUCCACGCCGUAAACGAUGAUCACUCGC
rnacentral:rRNA from 1 species